rnacentral:rRNA from 1 species
CCUACGGGAGGCAGCAGUGAGGAAUAUUGGUCAAUGGACGAGAGUCUGAAGCAGCCAAGUAGCGUGAAGGAUGACUGCCCUAGGGGUUGUAAACUUCUUUUAUAAAGGAAUACAACGAGUCACGUGUGCCGUUUUGCAUGUACUUUAUGAGUAAGGAUAGGCUAACUCCGUGCCAGCAGCCGCGGUAAUACGGAGGAUACGAGCGUUAUCCGGAUUUAUUGGGUGUAAAGGGAGCGUAGAUGGGUUGUUAAGUCAGUUGUGAAAGUUUGCGGCUCAACCGUAAAAUUGCAAUUGAUACUGGCAGUCUUGAGUACAGUUGAGGUAGGCGGAAUUCGUGGUGUAGCGGUGAAAUGCUUAGAUAUCACGAAGAACCUCGAUUGCGAAGGCAGCUUACUAAACUGUGACUGACAUUGAUGCUCGAAAGUGUGGGUAUCAAACAGGAUUAGAUACCCUAGUAGUC